GAUGAAGAACGUAGCGAAAUGCGAUAAGUAAUGUGAAUUGCAGAAUUCAGUGAAUCAUCGAAUCUUUGAACGCACAAUGCGCCCCUUGGUAUUCCGAGGGGCAUGCCUGUUCGAGCGUCAUUAUAACCCCUCAAGCUCAGCUUGGUGUUGGGGCCUGCUGCACUGGCAGCCCUUAAAAUCAGUGGCGGCGCCAUCUGGCUCUAAGCGUAGUAAUUCUUCUCGCUAUGGAGUCCUGGUGGAUGCUUGCCAUCAACCCCCAAUUUUUCUAUGGUUGACCUCGGAUCAGGUAGGGAUACCCGCUGAACUUAAGCAUAUCAAUAAGCGGAGGA
rnacentral:misc_RNA from 1 species